rnacentral:ncRNA from 1 species
UAUCUUGAGAGUUUGAUCCUGGCUCAGGACGAACGCUGGCGGCGUGCUUAACACAUGCAAGUCGAGCGGAGGGGAUAAGAGCUUGCUUUUUGAACCUUAGCGGCGGACGGGUGAGUAACACGUGGGUAACCUGCCUCAUGGAGGGGGAUAACACUAAGAAAUUGGUGCUAAUACCGCAUAAAACCGCAGGGUCACAUGACCUAACGGUCAAAGAUUUAUCGCCAUGAGAUGGGCCCGCGGCCCAUUAGCUAGUUGGUGAGGUAACGGCUCACCAAGGCGACGAUGGGUAGCCGACCUGAGAGGGUGAUCGGCCAC